rnacentral:rRNA from 1 species
GACGUAGGGCGCGAGCGUUGUCCGGAUUUAUUGGGCGUAAAGAGCUCGUAGGCGGCUUGUCGCGUCGAAUGUGAAAACCCACGGCUCAACUGUGGGCUUGCAUUCGAUACGGGCAGGCUAGAGUUCGGUAGGGGAGACUGGAAUUCCUGGUGUAGCGGUGAAAUGCGCAGAUAUCAGGAGGAACACCGGUGGCGAAGGCGGGACUCUGGGCCGAUACUGACGCUGAUGCGCGAAAGCCAGGGGAGCAAACGGG